rnacentral:rRNA from 1 species
GUAGGUGGCAAGCGUUGUCCGGAAUUAUUGGGGCGUAAAGCGCGCGCAGGCGGUUCUUUAAGACUGAUGUGAAAGCCCACGGGCUCAACCGUGGGAGGGUCAUUGGAAACUGGAGAACUUGAGUACAGAAGAGGAAAGCGGAAUUCCACGUGUAGCGGUGAGAUGCGUAGAGAUGUGGAGGAACACCAGUGGCGAAGGCGGCUUUCUGGUCUGUAACUGACGCUGAGGCGCGAAAGCGUGGGGAGCAAGCAGGAUUAGAUACCCUGGUAGUCCACGCCGUAAACGAUGAGUGCUAAGUGUUAGGGGGUUUCCGCCCCUUAGUGCUGCAGCUAACGCAUUAAGCACUCCGCCUGGGGAGUACGGCCGCAAAGGCUG